CAAACCUGCAAACUCCCCGAAAGGCACCCUUGAUAGACCAGAGACACCAGCCAGACAAUAUCUACAAAUUGUCAAGUGUGAUCUCACAUCUGGGAGACAACAUGUAUACAGGCCACUACAUCAGUGAUGUUUUGGACAGCCGUGGCAGUGGGUGGCUCUGCCUGGAUGACACACAUGUCUUGAGGACAGAUGAGGCCACUGUGCUGAAGGCGAUUUCACAGACUGCCUACAUCCUGUUCUAUGUCUGCAGGUAAGGCUCUAGGCCACAAAUUUGAGAAGAAUGUCACAAAUGGAGUCAAUGACGACAAUCAGUCCCUUUCACCUGUAAUCCCUCUGUAUGUGUUAUUUUUCAGACAUUGUAUGUACAUGUAAGAUCUCCCUGUCAUU